rnacentral:lncRNA from 1 species
CUUUUCUGGAAGCUGGAAAGUCCAAGGUCAAGUCACCGUCAGACUCAGCGUCGGGUGAGAGCCUGCUUUCUGGUUCGCUGAUAGUGAUGGUGCCUUCUAGCUGUGUCCUCCCAUGGCGGAGGGGGCAAGACAGCUCUCCAGGGCCUUUUAUGAAGGCACUAAUCCCAUUUAUGAUGGCCCUACUUUCAUGACUCCCCAUGACCUAAUCACCACCCAAAGGUCACAGCUCCUAACGGUGAUUAGGUUUCAACAUUUGAAUUCGGGGGGAAUGGGGGAGAUACACAAACAUUCAAACCACAGCACUCAAUUAAUUAAUUAUGUCAAGUUAUCAUAGUUACUUGACUCAGGUGUUUUUGGGACUGCAGGCAGGGAGGAAGCAAGGCUUAGAAGAGUCAUCUACCACUCUCAAAAAUAAUACUGCUCGUCAGGAAGAGGAAAGUUCUUCUGGGAAGCAUCUGGCUAAUCUUUUUGGAAAGGUUCUGAGGAAAUUCUUAAAGAGGACCUAUUAUGCAAUCCUGGCUACAAUGCUGUAGACGUUCCUGUAAGGGUUCCUGUGGUUUCUAAUGUACAAAGAUGGACAAUUCCUCAGAUGGCCUCAGGAGAAUGCUUUUAGAUCUGCACUGGGCAGAACCCUGGGAUUAAUUAACAAGGCUCUGUGCCAUCUUGGUAAAGAUGGUCCCCCAGGGGACAAGAAGGAAAAACUUCAGCUGCUCUCAAGUCAUUGCCUACGGAGAAAAAGCCAUUGGUUCUACCUUCCCUUCUAAUUUCUAAUUUCUAAUUUAAUUUCGACUUAAAACUCAAACCCUUUGCUGGUGCCUGACUAACUCUCCUAAAUGAAAGAGGAACAAAUGUUGGACAGUAAGGAAGCCUUCUGGUCCCAAGGCCUCAGAAUGGAUUAGGCAUUGGUUAGCCAUUCCUGGGCCAUGGCACGUGGGGGGCCUGGAGACCAGUACUACUGCAGGGGCAGGACCCUGUGGGCAUCAGGAUGCCACCCCCUCACCCUCACUCCAGGACCACCACUCUCUCCAUCAGUUUUUCUUUUCAAUCAAAGAAUAAAUGGCUAUUUUACCCAUCUUAAACACAACAGCCUUCUUCUGAUCUCUCUCCUCCCACUGAUUACUUUCCUUUUGCAGCAAAACUCCUUUCAAGAAUUGUCUACACUUGCUUUCAUUUUCUCACUUUCCAUUCUCUAUCAAGCUCAUUCCUGCCAUGCUUUUGCCCCUACCAUCUAACCAAACUACUCUUAUCGAGGUCACCAAUCACCUUCACCUUGCUAAAUAUAAGGGUCAGUUUGUCACUCCUUCCUCCUGAUCUACUUUCUUCACUCUCUUCCAGGACACAGCACUUUCUUGGUUUUCCUCUUGCUUUACUGGGGUUCCUUCUCAGUCUGCUCUGCUCUAGGAAUUUUUAAUAUUUGAGUAUCCCAGGUCUCAAUCAUUAGUCCUCUCCUCCUCUCUAUUUCUAUCCACUCCCUUGGGGAUCUCAUCCAGUCUCAUGACUUGGAAAUACCAACGUGGGUCAUUUGGAAGUUGUUAUGUGGGACAGUCCUGUGCACUACAGGAUGCCCAGCAUCUCCGCCACCACCCAUCCACUAAAUGCCAGUAACAGCCUUCCCAUCAUUGUGACAACCAAAAAUUCCCUCACCAAUUUCCCAAACACCCCUGAUGGCAGAAUCACUCCUGCCUAGAAACACUACUUAGAAAUAAGGUCUGUG